CGGUGAAUACGUUCCCGGGCCUUGUACACACCGCCCGUCACACCAUGGGAGUUGGUUCUACCCGAAGCCGGUGCGCUAACCGCAAGGAGGCAGCCGUCCACGGUAGGGUCAGCGACUGGGGUGAAGUCGUAACAAGGUAGCCGUAGGGGAACCUGCGGCUGGAUCACCUCCUUUCUAAGG
rnacentral:rRNA from 1 species